UGCAUAUCGCAGCGACAGCAGGAAAAGACCCCGUCUGACCUUCCCUCCCUCAAACACGGCCAAUUGUGUUUGUUUGGACUUCCAGCCAGGAUGAAAUGCCAGCAUUGUGUUGACAGAGGAAGAUGAGUAGCCGUGCUGCUCUGUAGGUGGACAGUGCUGGAGGAAUGAGUAGUGUAUUUCAGAGCUGUAGAUCAGAGAUGGAGCAUGCAUCAAUGAAGGCCUGAGCUAUGACAGACAGACACGCGUCCAUGUGAUCUGUCUUAUCGAUGUC